CCUACGGGUGGCAGCAGUGGGGAAUAUUGCACAAUGGGGGAAACCCUGAUGCAGCGACGCCGCGUGAGUGAAGAAGUAAUUCGUUAUGUAAAGCUCUUUUUGCAGGGAAGAAAAUGACGGUACCUGAGCAAGAAGCCCCGGCGAACUACGUGCCAGCAGCCGAGGUACUACGUAGGGGGCAAGCGUUAUCCGGAUUUACGGGGUGUAAAGGGAGCGUAGACGGGAGUGCAAGUCUGGAGGGAAAGGCGGGGGCUCAACCCCCGGACUGCGCUUGAAACUGUAAGGCUGGAGUGGAGGAGAGGUAAGUGGAAUGCCUGGUGUAGCGGUGAAAUGCGUAGAU
rnacentral:rRNA from 1 species